rnacentral:rRNA from 1 species
AGCGAACGCUGGCGGCAGGCCUAACACAUGCAAGUCGAACGGACCCUUCGGGGUUAGUGGCGGACGGGUGAGUAACACGUGGGAACGUGCCUUUAGGUUCGGAAUAGCUCCUGGAAACGGGUGGUAAUGCCGAAUGUGCCCUUCGGGGGAAAGAUUUAUCGCCUUUAGAGCGGCCCGCGUCUGAUUAGCUAGUUGGUGAGGUAAUGGCUCACCAAGGCGACGAUCAGUAGCUGGUCUGAGAGGAUGACCAGCCACACUGGGACUGAGACACGGCCCAGACUCCUACGGGAGGCAGCAGUGGGGAAUCUUGCGCAAUGGGCGAAAGCCUGACGCAGCCAUGCCGCGUGAAUGAUGAAGGUCUUAGGAUUGUAAAAUUCUUUCACCGGGGACGAUAAUGACGGUACCCGGAGAAGAAGCCCCGGCUAACUUC